rnacentral:rRNA from 1 species
UACAGAGGGGGCAAGCGUUAUUCGGAAUUAUUGGGCGUAAAGGGCGCGUAGGCGGCAUUGCAAGUGGAAGGUGAAAUCCCUCGGCUUAACCGGGGAACUGCGUCUGAUACUGGAUGCUCGAGUUUGGGAGAGGGAUGCGGAAUUCCAGGUGUAGCGGUGAAAUGCGUAGAUAUCUGGAGGAACACCGGUGGCGAAGGCGGCAUCCUGGACCAACACUGACGCUGAUGAGCGAAAGCCAGGGGAGCAAACGGGG